rnacentral:ncRNA from 1 species
CAUUAGGUUGAUUCUGCCUAACGUAGAUGCUAGUCUCUGAGAUUAAGCCAUGCAUGUCAGUGAAGCCUUACGGUGGAACGGCGAACGGCUCAGUAAUGUUGCGGUAAUUUGGUCUCUGUGUGUAAACUAACCACGGUAACCUGUGGCUAAAAGCGGAGAAUAAGGCGCAACCCUAUCAGCUUGUUGGUAGUGUAAAGGACUACCAAGGCCAUGACGGGUAACGGGAAAUCAGGGUUUGAUUCCGGAGAGGGAGCCUGAGAGAUGGCUCCCACGUCCAAGGACGGCAGCAGGCGCGAAACUUGUCCACUCCUUACGGGGGAGACAGUCAUGAGACGUGAGUAUAAGACCUGAGUGUAAAGACCUUAGGGUGAAGCAAUUGGAGGGCAAGCUUUGGUGCCAGCAGCCGCGGUAACUCCAACUCCAAGAGUGUCUAUGGUGAUGCGC